rnacentral:rRNA from 1 species
UACGGAGGGUGCGAGCGUUAUUCGGAAUUACUGGGCGUAAAGCGCGUGUAGGCGGGGAAGCAAGUCUGAUGUGAAAGCCCCGGGCUUAAGCUGGGAAGUGCAUUGGAAACUGUUUUUCUUGAGUACUGGAGAGGAAGGGAGAAUUCCCGGUGUAGAGGUGAAAUUCGUAGAGAUCGGGAGGAACACCAGUGGCGAAGGCGCCCUUCUGGACGGUUACUGACGCUGAGACGCGAGAGCGUGGGGAGCAAACAGG